rnacentral:rRNA from 1 species
UACGAAGGGGGCUAGCGUUGCUCGGAAUCACUGGGCGUAAAGGGUGCGUAGGCGGGUCUUUAAGUCAGGGGUGAAAUCCUGGAGCUCAACUCCAGAACUGCCUUUGAUACUGAAGAUCUUGAGUUCGGGAGAGGUGAGUGGAACUGCGAGUGUAGAGGUGAAAUUCGUAGAUAUUCGCAAGAACACCAGUGGCGAAGGCGGCUCACUGGCCCGAUACUGACGCUGAGGCACGAAAGCGUGGGAGCAACAGG